rnacentral:rRNA from 1 species
GUCCGGUGAAGUGUUCGGAUCGCGGCGACGUGGGCGGUUCGCUGCCCGCGACGUCGCGAGAAGUCCACUGAACCUUAUCAUUUAGAGGAAGGAGAAGUCGUAACAAGGUUUCCGUAGGUGAACCUGCGGAAGGAUCAUUGUCGAUGCCUGUAAAUCAGACCGCGAACACGUGUUAAUAAGCUCCGUCCGCCUAGCGCUUGCGCUUGGUGGGCUAACGAACCCCGGCGCGGCAUGCGCCAAGGAAUACUUAAAGGAAUCGUCGUGCCCCGGGCGCCCGUUCGCGGUGCGUCUCGGGUGCGCCACGUACCUCGAAUGUCUAAACGACUCUCGGCAACGGAUAUCUCGGCUCUCGCAUCGAUGAAGAACGUAGCGAAAUGCGAUACUUGGUGUGAAUUGCAGAAUCCCGUGAACCAUCGAGUCUUUGAACGCAAGUUGCGCCCGAAGCCUUCUGGCCGAGGGCACGCCUGCCUGGGCGUCACGCAUCGCGUCGCCCCCUCCAAAUCCCUAGGGAUCUCGGAGUGGGAGCGGAAAUUGGUCUCCCAUGCGCCUCCGGGCUCGUGGCUGGCCUAAAUUAGAUCCUGCAUCGACGGAUGCCUCGACCAGUGGUGGUUGAAAGACUCUCUUGCUGUCGAGCCGCACGUCGCUUGCUAGGCAUCGAACAAACCCAACGGCGCUUCRCGUGCCUACGACCGCGACCCCAGGUCAGGCGGGACUACCCGCUGAGUUUAAGCAUAUC